UCCUGGAAUUCAGAAAUCGAGAUCGAUCGUUUCUUUUUUUUUUUCCUUUUUCCUUUUUCUGGAUUUUAUUCUAAACGAGUGAUUUGGAGUGCGUGGAAUCGUAUUGGAGUUUGUAGCUAUUUUAGUAUUUGUUGAAUAUUGCAAAUGUAAAAUUAAAUUAGACACUGUGAAAAAUCUUCUUAGAAUCUUUGAAAAUUAAUGGUAAAUUUUUCUGAAACAGAACACGAUCAUGGAUAUUUUUUUGCGUUUUUUGUUUUGUGAAUUUGAAUUUUUGUUCCGAAUGAUUUGAAUAUGGUUUUUCAGAUUCUACUGAAAGGAAUUUGUAGAAAUUUAAGUACCAACGAAUAUAAAACGUAUAGGUACUGCAAUCGUGUCUCUAAGAGUUUAAUGACGACAGACUUUCUUGGAAGGGAACGAUUAUUAACGUUUCGAUUUCUUUCGCUGAAAAAUUUCUUUUGUCACUACUUUUUUUAGAAGUGAUUAAAUUAUUCUUAGAUCUUUUAAGUUUUGUCACCUUCUUAAAAGAAUUACAUUUCACGUUUGACUGAAACAAAUUUAACUAAAAGAAUUCACUGAUUAAGUUUCAAGAUGAAAAGACAAUUCAUAAGUUAGUUUUAUAACAAAUAUAUGUAAACUUCGAAAGUAGAUUCCAUAAAACUGUUGAAUCUUUACAUUGCAUUACGUGUAUUUUAUAAUCAGCAAGAAAGCAGCUACGCAUAUGUUCCAUUAGUGUAUAUGAAAUUUUCUUUACAAUUGAAUAAUUCAAAAUUUUAUUGUUUAAAUAUUUUUAAAAAUAUUAAAAACAAUAAAUAAAAUUAAUGAUGGUAGUAAUUAUAACGUUUAAACUUCGAAACAUUUUAUUUCGAACCUUAUGUUUCAAUAUAUAAGUGGAAAGAAAUAAUCUAUGAUGGUAUUCGAAAGAAGACUUUAGGAAAGUCUUAUCCUUAAUUUGUAACGCACUAUGAAAAAUGCGGCUUCUUGCGCAUAUAGACUAGAGCACUCCUUAUACUCCUUUGUUUAAUGCAGCACGAAAGCAGUGGAACAAAUGGGACCGUAAAGCCUAUGAAGUGGCUUCGUAUAUAUAAAGAGACUCAAAGACUGCUUCUUGUGAUACCCUGUAAAACGAAACGUAGGAAGUAGAACCUGCUUGUACAAGAUCACAUUUUAACCUAAUUGGAAACGCUACGUUAAACCAUACCACGAUUAAAGUGAAAAACAACAUACGAAAUUUAUAUUUUAAUUAUCCUAAUUUUCCUUCAAACUUAACUUCGUUUAUUUUCCGUGGUUAAAUUAUCAUUCUCCAACAAAAUUGACAUUCAACUAUUGAACGAGAUUUCGAAGAAUAGACUUCUUGCAUCGAGAUAUUUCAAAGUCUCUCUGAAAUGUCACAGUCACUUCGUGAUGAUUAUUCGCGUCAUUUCACGCGGUUCAACUGAUACACGUGCAAGAACGGUUGCAGUAAAGAGGAUAAGGGAGGUAGACAAUGGCGUCGAGGCAAGGUGACGCGCGUUGUUUCUUCCCACGAACGAGCCCGGAGAUAAACUCCUCUGAAAUAGAUCUCUGACUCUUGUGUAUGCAACACGAUGUACGGGCUAUAUGCUGGAAAGUAGAAUCCAUCUAAUCUCCUUUCUGGAAAUCCUCCCGAGAUACCGAGAUACGUUCCGAAAUGUCUGCUUCGAUCUUUAUUUUGACAUUUUACGCUGCACGACUGAGAACACGAUACCAUUGUAGAGAUGUUACAAAGAGAAAGAUAACGAACUACAUACCGGAGGAUCCAUGUUAAGCAAUAAUUCCGUAAUAGAAAUUUAUUAUAUACAAUAAUACCGAUAUUUAUACAAAAAUAUACAUAUACGAUAGGAAAAAUUCGAAUAUUGAAUUCGGUAUUUUCAUUUCGAAAGAGAAUGAAUUUAAUUGUAUGCAAUACUUAAGGAAUUUUGGAUUGUAAAUUCUCUGAUUUCAUCUUGUUUGUUCUUGUUUGUUUUGUUCUUUCUUUCGAGAUAUUGAAAAGAUGAAUCACAAUUUGUAAAUAUUUUUUAUUUAAAGUAUAAAAAUAUUUAAAAAAUUCAUAAAGAAUAUAUCUAACACUUUUAUUAAUCAGAAUUUCUGUUUUCAAUAUACUUUAAAUCCGAGAAUAUUAUUUAUGAUUUCGAGCUAUAUUACUAUAUUUGAAAUUAUUAAAAAAGAAAAAAAAAUACACAUAUUCUCAUUCUUCGAAAUUCAAAAACUAAUUAUUUAACUAAUUAAAAAGAGAAGUCAUCGAAGCUUAUAAAUCAGACGAACGAGGAACUUAAAAGUUAAUACCUCAAAAAGUAUCCUCCGCUACUUUUCGCUAUAUAACUAUACUAAUUACUAAAAAAAGAAGAAGAAGAAGAAGAAGAAGAAUUAAAAAAGAAUUCUCGGAACUCGCUGCAAAGAAACGUAAAAAUUUUACAUCACAAAAAGUUAAAAGAUCGGUUCUCAAUCGUACUCGCGAUGAUCUAUCGAUGAUCGAAGGACUUGGCAGUGGAUUGGCGGACUCGUGUCGAGAUUUUCACGUCGCUACGUGUGCUCGUAUGAUGUCAACGUGGAAUAUUGUUCUGACGAGGACGGUCAGCGCGAAGAAAUAGGAAGAGGAAGAAAGAAGGAAUAAGAAAAAAGGGGGAUGGCUCGGACCCGAGUCACUGACUGGCGGCAUUCUAUUUGCGCGAUCGUCUCUAUAUUUAGGAUUUCCUACGUCUUCAUUUUGCUCGCGCGAACAACGUCUCUUCUCUGUCGCGAAUCCGUCGAAGGUCGUCACCGACGGCCAACGGAAUUUGGAUUCUUAUUUGGCUGGACGCUGCGUCGGUCUCCUCGCGGGUUCCGCGUUAACCAAUAUAAAAUCACGCUGGCAGCGGCACCGUGAAAUUUCAAAAACUUUACAUAUCCUUCUCUUCGUGCCCCUCGAUGACGCAGAUCGAAAAACACGCAUUUUCGACCGUGUUUGAACGACGCGAGGAAUGAAAAUUCGUAAUAACGCCAGUAUUAUAAGUCUUAGAUAAUGUAACUCUUAGAUAAUGAAAAAUAAUUGCACAAGUCGUUCUAUUAUAAUUAUAACGGCCCUCGUUUAUUUUGUCGUCGAAUAUUGUUCGAUGUAUCUUUGAGUGUAUUUGUAAUUUCCUAAAUUUGUCAGGAAAAAUUGCGUAAAAAUUUUGAAAAUAUACGGAUAUUUGGAUAUUUUGUAAAAAUGUUAAAAUAUUCUGUAAAUUUUUGUAUAUUUAUAAAUGAAUAAACAUCCGUGAUGCUAAUAAUAACAAUU